rnacentral:lncRNA from 1 species
UGCUGAGCCCUGGGACCGUCCAACAGGGAGAAGGGCCUUGGGACAAAAAUGACAGUUUCUCAACAUUACCCACGGUCGAGGUUACAAGAAGCAGAGAAUGUGAGAACGUUUCCAAAUGAAAGUGGGGGAAGGAUCGUGAAGAAGCAAGUUAGGGCUGUGCCUGGCCAUAGCCAGUGCCAACGCCGAGCCGCCUCUGCAGGGGAAAGUGAAGCAGAUGUGUUCAGAUUUUAUUGCUCCUGCUUCAUGAUAUCAAAGCCACAUGAUGAUAUCUGUGACUGGUGCAGAACAGCCCAGAUGGUUCUGGAAGCACCGUGGUCUGACCCGUCCUGACAGAUGAUCCAGUCAUGAAAUGCUGGUGCCGGUGUGGUUGGAGCUGUCCUCUCCUCUUUUCACUCUCUGGAAUCAAGACCCUGAAGUCCAG